rnacentral:rRNA from 1 species
GCCAUGCCGCGUGUAUGAAGAAGGCCUUCGGGUUGUAAAGUACUUUCAGUUGUGAGGAAGGGGGUGUCGUUAAUAGCGGCAUCUCUUGACGUUAGCAACAGAAGAAGCACCGGCUAACUCCGUGCCAGCAGCCGCGGUAAUACGGAGGGUGCGAGCGUUAAUCGGAAUUACUGGGCGUAAAGCGCAUGCAGGUGGUUCAUUAAGUCAGAUGUGAAAGCCCGGGGCUCAACCUCGGAACUGCAUUUGAAACUGGUGAACUAGAGUACUGUAGAGGGGGGUAGAAUUUCAGGUGUAGCGGUGAAAUGCGUAGAGAUCUGAAGGAAUACCAGUGGCGAAGGCGGCCCCCUGGACAGAUACUGACACUCAGAUGCGAAAGCGUGGGGAGCAAACAGGAUUAGAUACCCUGGUAGUCCACGCCGUAAACGAUGUCUACUUGGAGGUUGUGGCCUUGAGCCGUGGCUUUCGGAGCUAACGCGUUAAGUAGACCGCCUGGGGAGUACGGUCGCAAGAUUAAAACUCAAAUGAAUUGACGGGGGCCCGCACAAGCGGUGGAGCAUGUGGUUUAAUUCGAUGCAACGCGAAGAACCUUACCUACUCUUGACAUCCAGAGAAGCCAGCGGAGACGCAGGUGUGCCUUCGGGAGCUCUGAGACAGGUGCUGCAUGGCUGUCGUCAGCUCGUGUUGUGAAAUGUUGGGUUAAGUCCCGCAACGAGCGCAACCCUUAUCCUUGUUUGCCAGCGAGUAAUGUCGGGAACUCCAGGGAGACUGCCGGUGAUAAACCGGAGGAAGGUGGGGACGACGUCAAGUCAUCAUGGCCCUUACGAGUAGGGCUACACACGUGCUACAAUGGCGCAUACAGAGGGCUGCGAACUUGCGAGAGUGAGCGAAUCCCAAAAAGUGCGUCGUAGUCCGGAUUGGAGUCUGCAACUCGACUCCAUGAAGUCGGAAUCGCUAGUAAUCGUAGAUCAGAAUGCUACGGUGAAUACGUUCCCGGGCCUUGUACACACCGCCCGUCACACCAUGGGAGUGGGCUGCAAAAGAAGUGGGUAGUUUAACCUUCCGGAGGAGGCUCACCACUUUGUGGUGCAUGAGG